UACUGACACUUUAGGUGCUGACAGCUCAAGCUAGAAAAGUGACUACUAAUAUUUAUCUCCACAGGAAUCCUGUAACACAGGUCAUAAUGACAUUCAAAGUCCAACAUUCUAAGGUUGGACAGAGCAUUCUUGACAGUGAACUUUUGCUGGACUUGUGAAUUCCUUACCUUUAUCAUGAUGGCAGAACAAGCGGGAAGUCAAAUUAUGGGCAGAAAGUGAGCACAGAAUGAAGACAGAGAGACGUAUUUUCAAGAAAUAUUUUUAUCCAGGACACU
rnacentral:lncRNA from 10 species